AUUGAACGCUAGCGGGAUGCUUUACACAUGCAAGUCGAACGGCAGCGCGGACUUCGGUCUGGCGGCGAGUGGCGAACGGGUGAGUAAUGUAUCGGAACGUGCCCAGUAGCGGGGGAUAACUACGCGAAAGCGUAGCUAAUACCGCAUACGCCCUACGGGGGAAAGCCGGGGAUCGUAAGACCUUGCACUAUUGGAGCGGCCGAUAUCGGAUUAGCUAGUUGGUGAGGUAACGGCUCACCAAGGCGACGAUCCGUAGCUGGUUUGAGAGGACGACCAGCCACACUGGGACUGAGACACGGCCCAGACGCCUACGGGAGGCAGCAGUGGGGAAUCUUGGACAAUGGGGGCAACCCUGAUCCAGCCAUCCCGCGUGUGCGAUGAAGGCCUUCGGGUUGUAAAGCACUUUUGGCAGGAAAGAAACGUCGCGGGCUAAUACCCCGUGGAACUGACGGUACCUGCAGAAUAAGCACCGGCUAACUACGUG
rnacentral:rRNA from 1 species